GCGGCGGUGGUUUUGGAGGAGGUGGUGGCGGAUGGAAAUCCGGCGGAGGUGGUGGUGGAUGGUAAUUUACCCCAAGUUUAGUUCAAACAACCACAAUCAAGUGUAUAAAGUCCGCUCAACUUCAUGCAUUUUUUUUAUUUUUGUAAAAUUGUAAAUAUUUUUUUACUUACACUGCUGUAAAUAAACUUGAUUUGCUUA